GAUCAGAGGUUUAAUCAUGAAACAGUCUCCUCUGAUGAGCAUGCGCAUUUUAGUUAUAAUACUUUGCAUUAUUUUAUGAUUGUGGAGGGUUUGGGAGGAUAAUCUCAAGUCUAUUUACUUCUUUCCAUUGGGCUAAUCCCUUCUCCGGAGCCCAGCUCAUUUUCAAGCUGCUGCUGCCUUGCGUUGCUGUUUUCCCCCACCCCUUCAGUGCGACAGCCUAGGAGCUGCUGAAAAGACCGAAAGUACGCAACUGGAUAAAUUCGUAGACAUGGAAUUCGUGGAUGAAAUGGUACUUGCAGAGUUAAAGCUGGCUGGAUCGGUUCCUGGAAUUUUCUAGAAUGAUAUAAGGAAAAUGUAAGAAAUGUGUGAGGAGCAGAAAUAAAAAUGUUUGCCAAGCUAUUGCUGACAAUUUUAAGGGAGACUUGCCUGGAAAAAGACUUGCGCCAGCAGUGUACAACUCACUUUUUAAUGCCCACACUGGUCACCUCCAGCCACAGACUUGCAUCCAAACUUGCCCUAAACCACACCGACACACCUCAAGGCAUAGCCAUAAGUGUUGCAGCAAGAGACUUUCUCCGCAGCACAAGGACACUUCCCACAUCACUAGAUUCUUCCAGAGAGGCUCACGGGUUCCCCUCAGCACAGAGACCCACCUAAGCGACAUUGAACUGUCACACGGGACAGAAGCUUGUCCUGCACAGACAAUCCCAACCUCACAGACUGUCUUCAUAUCAGUCAGACUCUUCCUUGGACGCACAGACAUACAAACUCAUGACCCGGAACAUGGAUUCUCUCACAGCCUGCAGAUACUCCCCAUAGCACCGAACACAGACUGUCACAGCACGGAGACUCUAGCACACGCGUCACAUCUCUCCACAAUGCAGACUGUCCCCUCAGAGUGCAGACUCACGACACAGCUCCAAGACCCAUUCCGAAGACUGCAAAGACUCGCCUGUGAGGGACACUCACCCCACGGCACAGCAUUCCAGCAGGACACUGACUCACCCGUGCUGCCCCACGCAGAUUUACCCCACAAAACGGGGCUGAACCCAUAGUCCAGACAGUCCCUGCAGCACUCAGACAAGCGUAGCCAACUGCACAGAGAUUCAGCUAUGCAACGUGCAGCACAUACUGUCCUUCAGUUCACCCAUGCCUUUGCCAACAAAUGCAAUGGGCAUGCAGUGGAAGGACGCACUGUAUAGGCAUUCUUGUCCUACUACAUCUGACCUCCCCUCGGUCUCACCCUCACCACACACCCUAUGGCCUGCUGUCACUAGAACACUCCCGGAUUCCUCAGACACACUGUCAUACAUGGGCAUAUGUCACACAUGACGCUGCAGCACAUACGUGGGCACCACAACGGACAGACUUGUUCCACAACACACAUGUGUGCUCCAGGAGCAGCUCACAAUGCACUUCUCCCUCAGUCUUCCCACAGCAUCUAUGCAGCCUCCGACACGGAAACACCCUGCAGCACGAUACUCCAGCCCCGUGGUGCUCACAGUGCCCGCACUUGCCACCCAGCGUCAUUUCCUCAGCUUACAGUGGCUACACAGUGUGGACAUGUGCUCCAAAGCACCUAAAACCAGUUGAAGAGUUUUGCUUCGGAUUUACCAGAAAGCACCUCAACUGGUUUCCCUGCUUGCGCUGCUGCCCAUAGUGCAAGCUGUGCGCAGGGCUGCACCAAAAUGCAGCUUCUCCCAUCAAUACACUGACUCUUCUCACAACGGCUUCACACUGAGACUCACCCUUUGUGCUCGGAACAUGGACUUAUGCCGCAACACUUGAACUUGCCUUCAGGGCACACCCACAGUACUUACACAUGCCUUAAAAUUCACAGGCAUGCCUGUAAACACAGAUUCAUUCCAUAAUGAACAGGAUCGCAUCACAACACGGACCUAACCUGGAGCACAAAUCCCACAGUGUACAUGGACGUUUCCCACCGUGUAGACUCGAAGCACACAUUGCCCUUCUUCGCACAGAUUUCCAUGAGUGGACAGUCAUGCUUUACCGUACUGUUGAGCUACAACUCUGGCAUGCGACAGAGAUACAGCUUUUGCAAUGGUUAAGAGCAAGGCCUCUGGACCCAGACCACCUGGGUUUGAAUCCAGAUCCCAUCCCUUGCUAAAUGUGUCACCAUGGAUUUGCUUCAAAAUUCAGUCUUGCACCAGAGAAGUACAGAAAUGCCUCACAACGCCUUCAGUGAACCUACAAUAAAAGGACUCAACUCCACCAUGCCUAGACUCACCUCCUAACAUGGAGAGAUGACUUGUAACCCACAGCACAUUGAUUUGUUCCUCAGAGUCUGAAAAGAGGACCCCCAUGCUCACGCAGACUUGGAGGAGCUAGAAGAUGGAGAAACAACACGGACCAGGAGAAAGAGGGCUUCGCCCCCGGUACACACUGCCAUCUAGUGACUACAUUCAAAUUUGCAAGGUUUGGCAAGAUGUGUCAGAAUUCCACUGGAAGUAUAUUAUCUCAAGAAUCAGUGAAAUAAAAGCUGCUCAUCCAGCAAUCCUGACACAUUCUGAUUCUAACGGGGGUGUGAUUGCCUUUUUGCAGAGGUGGAAUUGGCUACUGGCAGCAGAAUUCCUCUGGCUGAACCCCUGGCGCCCUUGCCUUUGGACUCUGCUCUCCUCUACAUCCAACAAUCUAGUUUAAGGAGCAGAAUAUACUUGGAUGAUUAACAAAUGGGAUAGCAGAAUGGAAAGUAUUAAAUUCUGUCCCAGAAGAAACCACUUUGUUUUUGUGUUUGUGAAAUGUUAUGAAACUCAUGCACUUAAAAUGUAAUAUAAAUAUUCAAGAAAAUAUGCUUCUAGUUUUAGAGAGAGUAAAGUCAAAGGCAGGAACAAGACUUAAUUUAGUUUCAUUUUAAUAACAGCAGUAAAUACUUGAUCUGAGAGUGGUAAAGAUCUCUUACUGUCCCUAUUCAACCUUUUCCUCUUCCCUCAAAGCAACCAGUUAAGGGUCAGUCUUCCAACAUAAUUGCUAGCAAUUUUAUUCAGACAAU